AUUGAACGCUGGCGGCAGGCCUAACACAUGCAAGUCGAACGGUAACAGGAAGCAGCUUGCUGCUUUGCUGACGAGUGGCGGACGGGUGAGUAAUGUCUGGGAAACUGCCUGAUGGAGGGGGAUAACUACUGGAAACGGUAGCUAAUACCGCAUAACGUCGCAAGACCAAAGAGGGGGACCUUCGGGCCUCUUGCCAUCGGAUGUGCCCAGAUGGGAUUAGCUAGUAGGUGGGGUACCGGCUCACCUAGGCGACGAUCCCUAGCUGGUCUGAGAGGAUGACCAGCCACACUGGAACUGAGACACGGUCCAGACUCCUACGGGAGGCAGCAGUGGGGAAUAUUGCACAAUGGGCGCAAGCCUGAUGCAGCCAUGCCGCGUGUAUGAAGAAGGCCUUCGGGUUGUAAAGUACUUUCAGCGGGGAGGAAGGGAGUAAAGUUAAUACCUUUGCUCAUUGACGUUACCCGCAGAAGAAGCACCGGCUAACUCCGUG
rnacentral:rRNA from 1 species